rnacentral:tRNA from 4 species
AGUUUUGAGAGGUCUUGUGGGGCCUUAGCUCAGCUGGGAGAGCGCCUGCUUUGCACGCAGGAGGUCAGCGGUUCGAUCCCGCUAGGCUCCA